GAGCUUGGGCACAAAAAUCUAAAGUCAUCUCUAUCAAUGUGAAAUACUCAUGGAAAAAAAUCGCUGCAGCUGCAUUAAUCGCUGUUCUAAUUCUGGCUGUCAUAAUCAUCUGUGGGAUCAUAUUCAUUAGAAGAAAAGGGCGCUUCAAAACAAAUUCAUCCAGAGAGAGGCCAGACAACAAAGCAGAGGUAAGGAAGAAGAGGUCAGGUAUCAGGUAUACAUAUAUGAACCUGAAAAAGACCAUGUUAAUGUAACUUAAUAUCCUUGUACAAGUCUGUAUACUGCUGUCAUACACUGCACAGUUGAAAGAUAAAGUUAGCUGUUGUAGUACAGAAAAGUGGGUAUUAACCCAACCAGAUAUUAAGCUGCGUAUACAUUUUUUGACUGUGGGCCAUCUAAGAUAAAGAAAAAAUGGUGGUGAUAGCUUUGAUUGUGUUUAAUGUGGUUGUCCUAUCUUAAACAGUGGAAGAACUUAAAAGGUUGGCUGUAGUAAUCUUGUAAACAAAGACGGUCUGAGAUAAAAUCAUUACAAUGCCAGAAAUUUAGGGUGAUCCUCUCACAGUGUGCCUGCUGCUGCAAUCAACAUCUAUUAACCAACCAUCAGAAACGGAGCAUGAUGAUCAGCUGUGCUGAUCAACUGAGCACCAACACUCAUGAAAGCGACAAAACAAAGAGAAAUGAUGGAAGUAUCUGGCUUUUAGGAGUUCCAAUAAAGAGGAAGAUCUAGUAGAGCUCUUGCAGCAGGUUGUUAUAUGACAGCUGCCAGCUGUUAUCAAGUCUGAAUCCAGUCUGAUGAUUCGGUAUGGACACCAACAGCAGAGGAAUAAAAGCUGAUCAUUAUCAUUGUACGAUUCACAUGCUUCAAACUUCAUGUCCCACCCAGGUUUAUGAGAUCCACACUGCACAGUGUGGCUUGUAAUGAUUGAUUUAUAAUACUGCACAGUGUGUGGGUACCUUUAGUUAAGACAGUGACUAACUGUAAGCAGUUUUCAUGUGUUGAGAAAAUGACACUUAUUUGUUUAAUGCUGUUGUUGAUGGCAUUGCUCUUCCUUUGCUCGGGAUAUAAACCUCUCCAGGAAUACAGAUACAAGGUUU